AAUGAACGUUGGCGGCGUGGAUUAGGCAUGCAAGUCGUGCGAUGAAGUGGUGCUUGCAUCACGGAUUAGCGGCGAAAGGGAGAGUAACACGUGGAUUACCUACCCUCAGGUCUGGGAUAGCUGCGGGAAACUGCAGGUAAUACCGGAUAAUAUCUCCGGAUCAAAGGUGUGAUUCCGCCUGAGGAGGGGUCCGCGUCCUAUUAGCUUGUUGGUGGGGUGACGGCCUACCAAGGCAACGAUGGGUAGCGGGCGUGAGAGCGUGGCCCGUCUCACUGGGACUGAGACACUGCCCAGACACCUACGGGUGGCUGCAGUCGAGAAUCUUUGGCAAUGGGCGAAAGCCUGACCAAGCGACGCCGCGUGCGGGAUGAAGGCCCUCGGGUUGUAAACCGCUGUCAGAGGGGAGGAAAUGCAUAGGGGUUCUCCCCUAUGUUUGACCUAUCCUCAGAGGAAGGACGGGCUAAGUUCGUG
rnacentral:rRNA from 1 species